AUGCGCCAAGUACAAGAGCUUCUCGACAAAGGUUAUAUACGCGAAUCCCUUAGUCCUUGUGCUGUUCCUAUUAUUCUAGUGCCGAAAAAGGAUGGUACAUCACGUAUGUGUGUUGAUUGUAGAGGCAUUAAUAAUAUUACUAUUCGUUAUCGUCAUCCUAUUCCUAGGCUAGAUGAUAUGCUUGAUGAAUUGAGUGGUUCUACAAUAUUCUCCAAAGUUGAUUUGCGUAGUGGCUACCAUCAAAUUCGUAUGAAAUUGGGAGAUGAAUGGAAAACAGCAUUUAAAACUAAGUUUGGAUUAUAUGAGUGGUUAGUCAUGCCUUUUGGAUUAACUAAUGCACCUAGUACUUUCAUGAGAUUAAUGAACGAAGUUUUACGUGCUUUCAUUGGACGAUUUGUGGUAGUUUACAUUUGA
rnacentral:rRNA from 1 species